UCAUAAAAUAAGACCUUCCAACACACACAGACACACACACACACACCAUCCUUGCACUAACACAGAACCGCGCAGGCAGCCACCAACCAAGCAUCCAAUUAGAUCGUAGCGAUGCAGCCUCUUUCCGAGCUGAGGGGAGGCGGGAAGCUGCGAAAAAGAGACAUUAGAAGACGUAAUCUGGAGAUGGACGAACAGUGUAUGUGUGUAAGGAGAGAGAGAGAGAGAGAGAGAGAGAGAGAGAAACAAAGUCUACCCUCAAUUCAAAAAUCUGAAAGGGUCAGUUUAGAUUGAGUGUAAUCUGUAAACACUGUUCAAUCUGUGAUGCUGUGCUUACUGUAUGCAACCGCCUGUCUAAGUGUGUGCAUGUCAGUGAAGGUUGUUAUAGUUAAGACUUGGACUUCAUCCAGCCAUGAAGAGUUUAAAAGUACAAACCCUGCGUUCAAAACCACAUAGUGUAAUGGCAAAGUUCAAUUUUUCCAGACGUUCUAAAAAUUUCAAAAAGCUACAAUUAAGCUGGGAAUGCAUUGUAUGUACAAUGAUACUUAACUACGACUGUGGCUAUGAACGUAGUUCAUCAGUUGCUUUAUGUUUUCAAAAUUAAAUUAGAAUAUGCGAAACAGCCAACAACCUUUUAAAUACAUUGUUUACAUUAUCAAAAAGUAUUUUAAAAAAGCAAAAGUGAACACUUAUUAAAACAUUUAAAACGUAUCCAAAUCUCAUAUAUAUGACUGUUUUUUCCUGUGAGGGUGCUUGUUUUAGUAUGUAGCAGCAUUUAUAGUUCAGGUGUUUGAAAUGUGAAAUGGAUCGUUCAAAAGACGCUUUAUCACGGUUUUUGCUGUGACUUAUGUGAGAAGAAAGAUACCACAUUCAUGUCUGUCUUUGAAAUAUGAAGCUACAGCUUAGCUUAUUUUAGCAUAAAGACCAGAAACAGCUAGCCUUGUUUUUACACUUGGGUUAAUAUAGGGAUUCAAUUAAUGAGAUAUUUUUUGUUAAUUAGUUUUUAGAGGUUGUGGUUGGAAGAUUUUGUUUCCUUUGGACAUAGCCAGGCUCAAAAUUUCUCGUCUUUUUGCCAAGCUCAUCUGCUGAGAUAACCACUUUAUAUUUACUAUACAAACCUAAGAGGAAUAGCAUUCUUUUCAUUGAACUCGCGGAAAAAAGGCAAAUGGAAUACUAUUCAUUUAAAGUCCCUAUAGCUCAAUAACUAAUUACAGUUACCAAGUUACCAUCUUUUGCCUCUUUUGCCAUGAAGUCGCUGUAUUUGAAACUAAACUGUAAGUCAAACUUAAAGGCCAGGACAGUCACUGUUCCUCAGCUGGAGGACAUGUAUGCAUUCCCUUUACUCUUACACAGAUAAUGAUAUCAUGUUUCAAAGGUAAAAGAAAAAAAACUACUAUUUUAGAACAUUAUAUUUAAAGUUGAUUUUCAUAAGAAAAAGCCAAUAUUUGCCUUUAGCUUAUAAUCAUAGCAAGAUAUAUUUAGAGAACAUUUAGAUGGGAAAGGUAAAGCAAUGCUUUCUAUACUAUGGAUGUUCCUUGUCCAUAGGUUCUCUUUUCAUCAAUGGGACCAGAUAGUAUAGAGGUCUGCUGUACGAGCUGGCUAGAGAUGUAAAUAUACCAAUAAUAUAUUAGAAGAAAAUAUAGCAGAAAUAAUAUAUUGACCUGCAGUGUGUGUGUGUGUGUGUUCCAUAGAGGACACUCAAAUUUCCACUGUACGUUCAAUUUCACCAUGUCUGGAUUUUGUAACUUUAGACCCUGAUUUUAUGUAAAUUUGAUUUGAUCUGAAAUGGUGGUGAUAAUAACUUAAGCACUUAAAGUACAUCAAUUUGGACUACAUUAGAAAAGUAUAUUUGGAGAAAUCAUAUUGGGUAUUAUAAUUACUCAGUUGAAAUGUUGUGUUGUGUGACACAAAGAGACAAACACUAAACUGUUCUUGCCAUUUCGUUUGUUGCACAGAAAGUAACUGACCAGCUUGGGAUUUGUCCCUGUAUGAGGGGUUAAACUAUGACCUCUGGAAAUGAACAUAAGACAUAAAUGAGAUAAAGAACAGAAAGACAAUGUGGCAUGUGAUAAUAAAACAUGUCAUUCUAAAAAACUGUACAUAAAGUAGAUUGUGACAAGGAUCUCUAAUGAACACAACGGCUCAUAACCCACUGACUAUGCCAUUACCGCCAUGCAACAACAUAGCUAGCACGACUGUUGAAACUAAUCUACUAUACCUGCUCUUUUGAACACUGUGUCUCUUUUUCCCCCCGCAUUAAAGCCUUAGCGGACUUUGUGUUUACCCCAAAAACUUUUAACAACUGUGAGUAAUUGUGUGUUUGUGUAUAAAAGCGGAGACAGACGCUGGCACACACAUCAAGUUAAUGUUAACGGCUCUCACUUUUUAAGAGUGCUUUUAUUCUGGAAUUUGCAAAGGACUAGUCUAUGGAUCUACUUCUGCCCCCAUCUUUGUUGUCGUCAAAGCUGUAGGCUCCAAAAAAUGAACCAACAACAUAAAAAUUGAUCAGUGUACGACUAAUCAUUUCUCCCAGCCCUGUUCCACUCAAGACCCCAGUGCCAACGGCCAAGACUUAUUUAGAUUACUGUUUCUGUGAUCUGUUUUUUCUCUCUUUUUUUUUUUUUUAUUAUUGCUCGCCGUGUAUUGUAGUGUUGGACUGAUUUGUAUCCUAUGCAUUUACGUCUGUAGGAGAACUUUGCACUGUAACAUAUCCUCAAAUCACUUAAUCUAAAGAACUGAACUCUUAAAUUGUGACAAGUCAGGGUAUCUGACAAGAUCUUGACAUUCCUGUGUUGAAUCUGCAUGACGGACAUGCGAGUGGCACUUGAUAAGAAGAAAGUGUGCAGUUUGGGAAAGAUAAUAUAUGCUAGUAACCCAAUGUUCACUGUUUAGAAUUUGUAAGACAGACUAUAAAUCAAAGCAAACACUCAAUAGUUUGUUAAUGCCUGCAAUUGCGUGGCGAAGUUUACAAAUCGUCAACAUGUUUCUUUGCAUAACAUCCAGUUAAUCUAGGCCAGAUCAAGCUUUUUAUUGCACUGUUAAAGGAAUAAUCCACCCUUAAAUACCUGAACACUGUUCUUUAUGCCAUAUGGGCACAUUUUGCAGUUCAGAAUGAAAUAUCUCAUAACUUUUGGAUUGAUUGCCAUGACGUUUUGUAUCCAAAUAUAUGGUCGCCAAAGAUGACUUUGGUGAUCCCCUGAUCUUUCCUCCAGCGCAACCAACAGGUUGACGUUUGUUUUUUAUUGUAAAAUGUCUCCACAACUAUUGGAUGGAUUGCCAUGAAAUUUGGUACAGAAAUUCAUGGCCCUGUUCGGAUGAAUUACAAUAACCUUAGUGAUUUCUCUGACUUUCUAUUUAGUGCCCUCAUCAAGUUUUUAUUUGUCCAAUACUUUAGUGUUUGACCAAAUUCUUGCAUACCAACAACACUUCAGUAAUUUAUAGUUUGUGUUUGGUGCCAAUUAGCAAAUGUUAGCAUACUAACAUGCUAAACUUAGACGGCAUACAUGGCAAUUAUUAUACCGGUAUUGUAAACAACAGCAUAUUAGCUUUGUUAUUGUAAACAUGUUAGUCUGCUGAGUUAGCAUUUAGCUUAAAGCACCACUGUGCCUAAAUGCAGUCAGUAGUUUUUUUCUAUAAGUUUUUGUCCCUUAAGAAUCCAAGAGAAAGGGCAUAUUUUAAACUGUAAACUUUUUUUGUAGUUUUGCACCGACUUCUAACAUUUACGGAGAAAUUAAUCACUCAAGCGUCUCUGAGUGUAGAUUUAAACUGAAAUUGAUCCACAACACAUGCUUAGUUAAGGUAUUAUCAAAUUAUAUACAAAAAACUGUAGAAUGCAGCACUUAAUCAUAAAAUAUAUCCAAUAUCCAUGUACUGAUAUUUCAGAUUGAUAAUGUCCAACAGUGUCAGAGUGUUUCUGGGUGGAUCUUCCCUUCAACGUCCAGACUAGCCCUUGCUAGGCCUGACCCCGAGUGAAGCGGUUCCUGCCCUCCUAUAGCUUGAGCCUAUUGAACACAAAGUAUGACUAUACUGCAUUCAUCACAGAGCUGAACGGAGAGCAUUUUGUCAGGCAAAGGGAGGCAGUUGAACUUACUGCUAUGACCUGUGGGUAAUGGUCCUUACCAGCGUUAAAAUGGAUGUUUAUCGACCCCCGACUUGCCACUCCCAAUUUUCAGUGAAGAGCUUUGUUGACUUUACAAACCCACAUGCAGAUCUUAGCAUGCGAUUCCAUAGCUGUACAAAAGAUCAGCAAGGGAGGAUUUGGACCAUUGUAUUUUCUUUCAUCUUCUCUUUUCAUUUGAAAUGUUUUGGAAUAGCAAUUUGUGAAUUUAAAUGUAUGUGACCAAGUGACUUUUAUUUUUUCUCUCUCUCAGAAUUUCAGUAAACAGUGGACUCAUGUUAACAAUGUUAUGGUAGUUUGUCAGUAGUUUGUCCAUGCAAUAUCUGUAAACAUCAAAAAGAAAAGAAAUCCAGCUGAGAGAUGCUCUAUAUUCUCCUGGUUGCAUUCACUGGAGUAUUAAAAGUUCUGCAUCAAAAUGUGGCUGUGAUGCACCUUUCUCUAUUUGUUUUAUAUUUAACAUCCACUUCUUGUGUCCUACUCCUCUAAAGUCAACCCCCAUACAUGUCACCAUGGUAACCAUGGCACAGACCCUCUGACGUCAUUACCAGGUGGAUUAUGUGUUUAACGUUUUCGGUAGCCAAUCGGCACAUAAUAUAUCAACAUAUCAGUCACAACGAUGAUGUCAAAUUUGGAUUUCCUUAUACCAGUACAUAUCAACUUAGUAAAUGCUGCAAAAUUAUAAACCUACUAAAAUAUGUAAUUCUUUAGAGUAUAGAUGAAGUAGGAAAUGAAGAGGCAGAUAUGUGAAGGUAUUCAGCAUGUAAUGUUAACCGUUGAUUGAAAUUGAUACAAACAAAAGUAUAAUUUUCCCUUAAUGAGAAGACUGUUUGUGGUUGUUUUUUUCUUCAUUUUUAUUAUUUUGUAAAUAUGUAUUUUGAAUAUAUAUCACUGUGUUUGUUUUGAACUUGAUUAAUUUAUUUAUGCCUAUAUAUUGUUGUUUUUAUGUCCCCUGAUUUUGUUUAACUAACUGGAAACAAAUCAAGGGGGUGAAAACGUGUUGCUUAUUUAAUGUUAAGCAGACCAUGUUUCAACACUUUUACAAUUCAUGUUAUUCUCUUCAUUUAUGUUUUGCUGUUUUGCCUUUGGGUGAUGAUUUUACAAAAGUGAUAUUCAUUUCAUUGUAUUUACUGAUAUGUAACCUAUUAUGUUUAACUGUGUCGUAUUUAAUCAGAUGUGUUGUGGUCACCGCUCGUGAAAAUGAUUUCAUUCAGAGUUUCCGAAUCAUGACAAAAGAUCAAAGCAGUCACAAAGUCGUAAUCUGCCUUUUUGUCCAUAUGAGACAUGUUGUCACGUGCACACUUUACCAAAAGAAGGAAGUAUAGCGUCUUGAAAUGUUGAGCUAGGUGCGUGUUGAAAGUUUAAGAAAUGUUGACCCCAGAUUUGUAGUACAGCCUUUAUUACCAGAUUGUUAGCAAUGUUUUCAUGAAAAGUAUUUUCGGAUUGUACUCACUUUAUAAAAAGAUAACCCAUUGGAUAUAAAAACAAUAAGCAGUCUCUCUAGUUUGUAUGGAGUCCCAAAGGGUUUGAUGUUAGAUGAAUAAAUAAGUUAUUCUAAAAAUAGCCACAUGAAUAAAUUGUGUAAAACAACUAAUUUAGCAAUGGUUGUUGAGCAAAGAAACAAACGUUAGCCUCUUAGCUUUUGUUAGCUAGAGCAAAAUGUCCAAGUAAUUCUGAUUCUGUCCAACUGUAAAUAAAGGCAGUACAAAGACACUGAAACUAACAUUUUUAUUAGCCUAACAAGCUCCACAUGCUACUUACCUACAACCAGCUAACUAGCUAGAAGA